GGGCUCAUAGCUCAGGUUGGUUAGAGCGCAUCCCUGAUAAGGAUGAGGUCCCUGGUUCAAAUCCAGGUGGGCCCA
rnacentral:tRNA from 3 species